rnacentral:rRNA from 1 species
UACGGAAGGCAGCAGUGGGGAAUAUUGCACAAUGGGCGAAAGCCUGAUGCAGCUAUGCCGCGUGUAUGAAGAAGGCCUUAGGGUUGUAAAGUACUUUCAUCGGGGAGGAAAAAAACAAAACUAAUAAUUUUAUUUCUUGACGUUACCCGAAAAAGAAGCACCGGCUAACUCCGUGCCAGCAGCCGCGGUAAUACGGAGGGUGCGAGCGUUAAUCGGAAUUACUGGGCGUAAAGGGCACGCAGGCGGUUAAUUAAGUUGGAUGUGAAAUCCCCGGGCUUAACCUGGGAAUGGCAUUCAAGACUGGUUAGCUAGAGUCUUGUAGAGGGGGGUUAGAAUUCCAUGUGUAGCGGUGAAAUGCGUAGAGAUGUGGAGGAAUACCGGUGGCGAAGGCGGCCCCUGGACAAAGACUGACGCUCAUGUGCGAAAGCGUGGGGAGCAAACAGGGAUUAGAUACC